UACGUAGGGGGCGAGCGUUGUCCGGAAUGACUGGGCGUAAAGGGCGUGUAGGCGGCCGAUUAAGUCCGGAGUGAAAGUCCUGCUUUCAAGGUGGGAAUUGCUUUGGAAACUGGUUGGCUUGAGUGCGGAAGAGGUAAGUGGAAUUCCCAGUGUAGCGGUGAAAUGCGUAGAGAUUGGGAGGAACACCAGUGGCGAAGGCGACUUACUGGGCCGUAACUGACGCUGAGGCGCGAAAGCGUGGGGAGCGAACAGGAUUAGAUACC
rnacentral:rRNA from 1 species